AUGGAGAUUUCAAACCGUUUUCUGCUUCUAUCUUUCCAAUCCUUUGUUUACGUGAUAACAUCAAAUUUGUUCUUCUUGAAACAUUGUUUCUCCUGUUAUUUUCUCAUUAUUGAUAAUUUAAAUGUGGAUUUAACAUUACAUAGUAGUGAUGUUUUAUUUUUGUUUUCGACACUUGCAGAUGUUGACAUCCAAAGACACUAG